UAGAGGAAGUAAAAGUCGUAACAAGGUUUCCGUAGGUGAACCUGCGGAAGGAUCAUUAUUGAAUAUUUGAAGGGGUUGUUUGCUGGUCCCUAGCGGGACAUCGUGCACGCCCCGUUCAAAAAUCCAACCUUCAUACCCCUGUGCAUCAUUUGUAGGGUUGCGGCCGUCAGGCCUGCGCUCUAUGUUUAUCACAAACUCUGUAGUAUGUGUAGAAUGACAUCGCGUAUAACGCAUCUAUAUACAACUUUCAGCAACGGAUCUCUUGGCUCUCGCAUCGAUGAAGAACGCAGCGAAAUGCGAUAAGUAAUGUGAAUUGCAGAAUUCAGUGAAUCAUCGAAUCUUUGAACGCACCUUGCGCUCCUUGGUAUUCCGAGGAGCAUGCCUGUUUGAGUGUCAUGGAAUCAUCAACUCUUAUUUCUUYUUUGGAGAUGAGAGCUUGGACUUGGAGGUCUUUGCUGGCUUUUUGAGCCGGCUCCUCUUGAAUGCAUUAGCUUGAACCUUUGCUGUAUCGGCCUCGGUGUGAUAAUUGUCUACGCCGUGGCUGUGAGGCUUACUUUAACUGGGCUCAGCUUCCAACCGUCUGCUUGCGGACAACAUCUUAUUGACCUCUGACCUCAAAUCAGGUAGGAUUACCCGCUGAACUUAAGCAUAUCA
rnacentral:rRNA from 1 species